rnacentral:lncRNA from 1 species
CAGUAGAAUACGAGGAAAAUAGUGUAGGUUUGGUCAUGAAUGAUGUAGGUGGACAGAGACGAAGCCAGAAUUCAAUCCGGAGGGAGGCCAAAAUAUGUACAAAUAAAAAUUUUAGCAGAUAAAUAAGAUUUUAACUACUCAAAUUUUUAAUAAAAAAUUAAUAAUUAGAUAAUUAAUUUUAAAAAUAUAUUAAAUUUAUUUUUUUAAUUUACACUCGCUUAAAAAUUAGUUCUUAGCCACUUUAGUUAGAAUUUAAUUAAGUUAGAAUUUAGUUAGAAUUUUUUAAUUUUUUUAAAUUUUUGUUAAUUUUUAACAUUUUUUAAAUUUUUGUUAGAAUUUAAUUUUUAAAAUUUUUUAGUUAGAAUUUUUUUUUUAGUUAGAAUUUAAUUUUUUAAAUUUUUAUUAAUAAAAUAAUAA